GACGAACGCUGGCGGCGUGCUUAACACAUGCAAGUCGAACGGAAAGGCCCCUUUGGGGGUCCUCGAGUGGCGAACGGGUGAGUAACACGUGAGUAACCUGCCCUUGACUUCGGGAUAACUUCAGGAAACUGGGGCUAAUACCGGAUAGGAAUCCUUGCUGCAUGGUGGGGGUUGGAAAGCUUCGGCGGUUUUGGAUGGACUCGCGGCUUAUCAGCUUGUUGGUGGGGUAGUGGCUUACCAAGGCUUUGACGGGUAGCCGGCCUGAGAGGGCGACCGGCCACAUUGGGACUGAGAUACGGCCCAGACUCCUACGGGAGGCAGCAGGGGGGAAUAUUGCACAAUGGGCGGAAGCCUGAUGCAGCAACGCCGCGUGCGGGAUGACGGCCUUUGGGUUGGAAACCGCUUUCAGCAGGGGCGAAGCUUGUGGUGACGGUACCUGCAGAAGAAGCACCGGCUAACUACGUG
rnacentral:rRNA from 1 species